rnacentral:rRNA from 1 species
UACGUAGGGGCCUAGCGUUGUCCGGAAUUAUUGGGCGUAAAGAGCUCGUAGGCGGUUCGGCAAGUCGGAUGUGAAAUCUCCACGCUUAACGUGGAGGGGCCAUUCGAAACUGCCGUGACUCGAGUCCGGUAGGGGAGUGUGGAAUUCCCGGUGUAGCGGUGAAAUGCGCAGAUAUCGGGAGGAACACCAAUGGCGAAGGCAGCUCGCUGGGACGAUACUGACGCUGAGACGCGAAAGCGUGGGGAGCAAACAGG